UUCCUCCUAUCUACGGCACUAAAAAAUUUGAUUUUUGUAGAUUUUCGCCUAAGAUUAAAAGGAAGUGAAGGUCGGUUUUAUGCGGUGGCAAUGAUUAAAAGGUUACUAUUUUAAUUCUCGUGGCUUCAUUAUUUGCUGUUUUAGUCGCCAGUCAGUGCUUUUGCUCUGCGUUGUGCUUUGGCUCCAUUCGUAGUCAUUGUAGCACGUGUUAGAUUCGCUAUUGGUAUACAUUGAUUUUAUUAAUUUUAGUAAUUAAUACUUGAUUUUAAGACUUGGAUAAUCUCUUAUGAUGAAUUUAAGCAAUCGGGGAUUCAAUGUUGAAAUAUUUGAAACCCCAUCUUCCUGAUGUAAUUCUGGGUCGCAAUGUACAGCUUGAAAAAUUUCCAGGAUUUAAAAUUAAAUGUUUAAUGGAGAAAAUAAACGAGUUUAGUGGAUUUGGUGUGAUUGUUCUACAUAUUGGUUCUAUCGAUUGCUCUGUGAAUGGUAGAGCCAAUAUAACAGUAUGAAAGAUUAAGAAAUUUUGUUGAACAAUCCUAGAAGGGUCUGUUCUUUUCAUUAUUCUGAGGAGAGUCGCAGAGCCAAAUUUACAAGCAUUUACUUAGCCUAGUGAUGAAAACUGGAGCAGCCUGUCAUUAUUAAACAUCUUGCCUGUCCUGGGUGAUGAAAGUUGGUUCAAUCAGCUGUAUAUUCAAAUCUGUUUAAUUUCUGAAAGAAGAGCAUGUUUAAAACUUCAGUGUUACCUUUUGAAGGGCAACAGUGUUUUUAGAAUGUCUUUGUAUGUCAUGUAUAUAAUAAAACUAUUGUGUUUGGUUUCUGCUCAACAA